rnacentral:rRNA from 1 species
CCUACGGGAGGCAGCAGUGGGGAAUAUUGGACAAUGGGGGGAACCCUGAUCCAGCCAUGCCGCGUGUGUGAAGAAGGCCCUCGGGUUGUAAAGCACUUUCAGUGAGGAAGAACGCCUGGUGGUUAAUACCCAUCAGGAAAGACAUCACUCACAGAAGAAGCACCGGCUAACUCCGUGCCAGCAGCCGCGGUAAUACGGAGGGUGCGAGCGUUAAUCGGAAUUACUGGGCGUAAAGCGCGCGUAGGUGGCUUGAUAAGCCGGUUGUGAAAGCCCCGGGCUCAACCUGGGAACGGCAUCCGGAACUGUCAAGCUAGAGUGCAGGCGAGGAAGGUAGAAUUCCCGGUGUAGCGGUGAAAUGCGUAGAGAUCGGGAGGAAUACCAGUGGCGAAGGCGGCCUUCUGGACUGACACUGACACUGAGGUGCGAAAGCGUGGGUAGCAAACAGGAUUAGAUACCCUAGUAGUC